rnacentral:rRNA from 1 species
AUUCCAGCUCCAAUAGCGUAUAUUAAAGUUGUUGCAGUUAAAAAGCUCGUAGUUGGAUUUCUGGCUGGAGCGAUCGGUCCGCCCCGCAAGGGGUGUGUACUAGCGUCGUCUCCGACCAUCCUUGUGGGAACUGUGCGGCCGUUAACUCGGUUGUAUAUGGGAACACAUCGUUUACUGUGAAAAAAUUAGAGUGUUUAAAGCAGGCUUAAGCCGUUGAAUACAUUAGCAUGGAAUAAUAAGAUAAGACUUGGGUCAUUAUUUUGUUGGUUUGCGGAUCGAGGUAAUGAUUAAUAGGGAUAGUUGGGGGUAUUCAUAUUUAAUUGUCAGAGGUGAAAUUCUUGGAUUUAUGAAAGAUGAACUUAGGCGAAAGCAUUUACCAAGGAUGUUUUCAUCA